rnacentral:rRNA from 1 species
GACGAACGCUGGCGGCGUGCUUAACACAUGCAAGUCGAACGGUGAAGCCCUUCGGGGUGGAUUAGUGGCGUACGGGUGAGUAACACGUGAGCAACCUGCCCCUGGCUCUGGGACAACCACAGGAAACGGUGGCUAAUACCGGAUACGACCCGCAUCGGUUUCGAGUGUGGGUGGAAUGUUUUUCGGCUGUGGAUGGGCGCGCGGCCUAUCAGCUUGUUGGUGAUGUGAAGGCUCACCAAGGCGACGACGGGUAGCCGGCCUGAGAGGGCGACCGGCCACACUGGGACUGAGAGACGGCCCAGAAUCCUACGGGAGGCAGCAGUGGGGAAUAUUGCACAAUGGGCGAAAGCCUGAUGCAGCGACGCCGCGUGAGGGAUGACGGCCUUCGGGUUGUAAACCUCUUUCAGCUCCGAAGAAGCGAGAGUGACGGUAGGAGCAGAAGAAGCACCGGCUAACUACGUG